rnacentral:lncRNA from 1 species
CCUCUUUACUACAUUUCCCAGAAUCCUCCUCGACUCCUAGCCCUUCCUAUCUUGCUUCCAUAUUAGCCAACAGUGCUUUAUUUAUCAACCAAUAAGACAAACAUAUAUACAGAAGGACUUCCCCCAUCAGUUUUGUGUAGCCCUGGCUGUCCCCACAACUUGAUCAGGCUGGCCUUGAACUCAGAGAUCUGCCAACCUCUGUCUCCUGAGUGCUAGGAUUAAAGGUUGAAGAUACAGAGACAAGUUGUUGACCUAAAUCUGCAUUCACUUUGGGUUCCAGGAAGAACAGAAGUCUCAGGUGAGAGCACUUAUCCAUGGGGGUGAGGCCAGACACCGGAGCAGAAACAACAUCCCUACCAGCCAGGUUGUCCCUUUAAUCAGCAAGGACCUCUGCAGACCUCUUGAAGACCCAAAGCUGACAAUGAUCAACAGCACACGUAGCCCAGGACUGAUUAUUCGACUAGAGGAGAUUCAGAUGAGCACAUACCAGUAGCUCUGACGAACACAGGUUCUGCUAACUAGAUGCUCACCACCUCAAGAUGGGACCUACUCCAGUGGAUGGCAGUUAAUGUAGAAGUUUUCUUUCACUUGGACCUGAAGCUGUGUUCAUCUGGUUCUCACCGGUUUCAGUUUCACUUUCUGGAACCAAACUGAGUAAGUCCAGUACUGCUCCCAUCUAAACACACUUCCGAGAUCUGAGAAUGAUGUUUGACUGAAAGACCCCUGCCCUUAGCUUUUUCUUUUAAGUUUGCCUCCACCUCCGGUCGGCAGCUGGCGGGGCGCGCGCGCGAAUACAUCCUCCCCUCCCCUGCACUCCCCGACCCUUGAUCCCCACAGCUGCCGGCUCCCACUUCCC